rnacentral:rRNA from 1 species
AUGAACGCUAGCUACAGGCUUAACACAUGCAAGUCGAGGGGCAGCAUGAACUUAGCUUGCUAAGUUUGAUGGCGACCGGCGCACGGGUGAGUAACACGUAUCCAACCUGCCGAUGACUCGGGGAUAGCCUUUCGAAAGAAAGAUUAAUACCCGAUGGCAUAGUUCUUCCGCAUGGUAGAACUAUUAAAGAAUUUCGGUCAUCGAUGGGGAUGCGUUCCAUUAGGUUGUUGGCGGGGUAACGGCCCACCAAGCCUUCGAUGGAUAGGGGUUCUGAGAGGAAGGUCCCCCACAUUGGAACUGAGACACGGUCCAAACUCCUACGGGAGGCAGCAGUGAGGAAUAUUGGUCAAUGGACGAGAGUCUGAACCAGCCAAGUAGCGUGAAGGAUGACUGCCCUAUGGGUUGUAAACUUCUUUUAUACGGGAAUAAAGUGAGGCACGUGUGCCUUUUUGUAUGUACCGUAUGAAUAAGGAUCGGCUAACUCCGUGCCAGCAGCCGCGGUAAUACGGAGGAUCCGAGCGUUAUCCGGAUUUAUUGGGUUUAAAGGGAGCGUAGGCGGACGCUUAAGUCAGUUGUGAAAGUUUGCGGCUCAACCGUAAAAUUGCAGUUGAUACUGGGUGUCUUGAGUACAGUAGAGGCAGGCGGAAUUCGUGGUGUAGCGGUGAAAUGCUUAGAUAUCACGAAGAACUCCGAUUGCGAAGGCAGCCUGCUGGACUGUAACUGACGCUGAUGCUCGAAAGUGUGGGUAUCAAACAGGAUUAGAUACCCUGGUAGUCCACACAGUAAACGAUGAAUACUCGCUGUUUGCGAUAUACAGUAAGCGGCCGAGCGAAAGCGUUAAGUAUUCCACCUGGGGAGUACGCCGGCAACGGUGAAACUCAAAGGAAUUGACGGGGGCCCGCACAAGCGGAGGAACAUGUGGUUUAAUUCGAUGAUACGCGAGGAACCUUACCCGGGCUUGAAUUGCAACUGAAUGAUGUGGAGACAUGUCAGCCGCAAGGCAGUUGUGAAGGUGCUGCAUGGUUGUCGUCAGCUCGUGCCGUGAGGUGUCGGCUUAAGUGCCAUAACGAGCGCAACCCUUAUCGAUAGUUACCAUCAGGUUAUGCUGGGGACUCUGUCGAGACUGCCGUCGUAAGAUGUGAGGAAGGUGGGGAUGACGUCAAAUCAGCACGGCCCUUACGUCCGGGGCUACACACGUGUUACAAUGGGGGGUACAGAAGGCAGCUACACGGCGACGUGAUGCUAAUCCCGAAAGCCUCUCUCAGUUCGGAUUGGAGUCUGCAACCCGACUCCAUGAAGCUGGAUUCGCUAGUAAUCGCGCAUCAGCCACGGCGCGGUGAAUACGUUCCCGGGCCUUGUACACACCGCCCGUCACACCAUGGGAGUUGGGAGCGCCCGAAGCCAAUAGCCUAACCGCAAGGAGGGCGUUGUCUAAGGUGAGACCAAUGACUGGGGUG